AUGCAGAAGGCCAGGAUCCUCGCCCUGUUAGGGAACCUACAGCGGAGCUUCAGGAUCGAUGCGGCGCUGAACGUGGAGGCAGCCAAGGAGAAGGAUCAGAGGGGGGCAUCAGGACCACUGGACCACUACGGCAUCUUCAGCGUCCCGGACUCUAUCGCGGGAGACACUGGUCCUUACAAGAACCUCAUCACGUUCACCUCUGGUGCCUUCGAUCUCGAAGGGUUCUCCAGCUCCCAUCCGCUCACAAAGUUGACGUGGAUAAAUAGAUGCAUUUCGUCAAAUUUGGCUGCUUCAAUUUGUUCAAUUCUCCGAUUUGUCAGUAACAAUUUUUUUUGUGCCUGGUGGUAG
rnacentral:rRNA from 1 species